GGGUCACCAAUUAUCUAAAUGGGUUUUCCCUGACAAAUUUAUGUAAAUAUCGAUGGGUGAUGGUUAAAUCCAUGAAGUAUACUCCAUAUAUUAUAAGACUUGCUGGUUAAGGUGAUCACUUUAAGCUACACAAUGAAGUAGGAUGAUAAUUCACAGAUUGAGUUGAGUGAGAAGGAUCCCUGAAAACCAAUUUUGUUAUACAUCAGAGGUUUCCAGCAA
rnacentral:lncRNA from 1 species